GAGGUGAUACCAGGCUGCAGCUGCGUAC
rnacentral:sRNA from 1 species